UACGGAGGAUGCAAGCGUUAUCCGGAUUCAUUGGGUUUAAAGGGUGCGUAGGCGGGCUUAUAAGUCAGAGGUGAAAUCCGGCAGCUCAACUGUCGAACUGCCUUUGAUACUGUAAGCCUAGAGUUAAGUUGAGGCAGGCGGAAUAUGACAUGUAGCGGUGAAAUGCUUAGAUAUGUCAUAGAACACCGAUAGCGAAGGCAGCCUGCCAAAACUUAUACUGACGCUGAUGCACGAAAGCGUGGGUAGCGAACAGG
rnacentral:rRNA from 1 species